CCCUGGCCGAAGGUUUCCUCCUGAGUCAGGCAGAGGAGAGAAAGCAGAAAAGGGAUCAUUUUGCAGAAAUGGACCUGGAUUCCUGUGAGGCAGAUGAAAGAAUGAAGCCAACAAGACCUCCAGAUUUAUCUUUUCAUGGGGACAGAAGGGAAGCAGCGGCUGUGGAACCAGAUCAGGGUCCAGUGUGCUUUGAAGAUGUCGCUGUUCAUUUCACAGACGAG